ACUUGGAUUUUUUAGGACUUUUUAUGUUAUAGAGGAGACUUUUAUGAGACUAGAUCAGUUGAAAGAGUUUCUGUUGCAAUUUGUGUGGGGUCAUGUUGCAUAAUGCCAGAACGAUUAGUUAGAUAAAAGAAAAAAAAACGUAGU